AGAUGUAACGCCAUGGGGUAGGAGCCCGGAACUAUUCUCCGUCUAUAUUUGUCCCAGCAGAUUUCCAAUCAACUAAAGACUACAAACUAUUCCAGACACACCAGCCUCAGGUGGCCCUUUGAAACUAGCAAGCCCUGGACCAGCUGAAAGCUAAUGUAAACCAGAUGCUUCUGACAAAAUUUCCUACCAGCUUGAGCCCCAGCUUCAGACUAGCAUUCCUGACUGCUCCAAAGCUACCCGUCCAUCACUAGUUCCAGGUGGUCCACAGAACCUGGAUAGCAAGCCAGAUGUGACUUCUCCCUUCCUGGUCUUUGACUGGCAUUCCAGCCUUCGUGGGCCCUGACAACAAUGACAUACUUCAGCUGAGAAGCAGUUACAGAAGAGACUGUGUUGCUCCUUACCAUUAACAAAAGGCUAGGAAGUUAGAUCCAAAGAAACUUCUUCCCUUCUACCAAAGAAGCCCUUUUCCUAUCACUGUCAAAAAUGUCAAAUAGCUGCCUAUGGUGCCUAUUAGCACACCAGAACAUGCUGGCCUGCAGGCUCCUUCAGUAUUACAAAUACCUGUUAAAAUCAGAGAGCUAAAAAAAGGAUUACUCAAGAUGGGGGUUAUCCAUCUUGGCAACCAACAGCCAUUCUCUCUGACUUCAGUUUCUGGAAGGUAAGUUCCCAGUAACCUUGACUCAGUGAUUCCCACCCAAAAAUGUACAGUCGAGACUCUCUACUUGUUACGAUGCGGCUAAAUGCCUUUUUCGGCUUCUAUAACUUGCUUAUGUAGACACCCAAAGAUUGUUUGGGGUCACUUAACUUGGCAGAACAGACCAGUUUUUGCUUGCUUAAAUACAUAUUGAAAGUCUUCUUGUGAUUUUACCCUUUACAAAUCCUUCCCUUGUUUCCCUUCUCAUGGCAAUCUCAAACUUGGCUCAGAGAUUGUUCAUCCUGCUAGAAGCUAAUAAAUACAUCUUUAAUUAUAA